AUGGGCAAGAAUAUGCAGCGGGAGCGAGAGGUGAUGGACAAGAAUCUGAAGCAGGAGCAGGAAACCGUGGACCGCAUGAGGAAGGAGGAGCGUGCAGCCAUGGAACAGAUGAUGAAAGAGGACCGUGCAACCAUGGAUCAGAGGUUGAGGCAUUUCCAUGAUGAUAUGGACCUAAAGUUGAAGCAGGAGCGCAAGGACCUAGAUCGCGCCAUGCAGCUCGAGCGUGGCAGGAUGGAAUUCAAUAUCAUGCAGGCGCGUGCGAACAUGGACCUUAUGUUGAACUAG
rnacentral:rRNA from 1 species